GUGUUUGCUUUGGAAGCACAUAUACUAAAAUUGGAACGAUACAGAGAGGAUUAGCAUAGCCCCUGCGCAAGGAUGACACGCAAAUUUGUGAAGUCUUCCAUAUUUGA
rnacentral:snRNA from 1 species